rnacentral:rRNA from 1 species
GACGAACGCUGGCGGCGUGCUUAACACAUGCAAGUCGAACGGAAAGGCCCUGCUUUUGUGGGGUGCUCGAGUGGCGAACGGGUGAGUAACACGUGAGUAACCUGCCCUUGACUUUGGGAUAACUUCAGGAAACUGGGGCUAAUACCGGAUAGGAGCUCCUGCUGCAUGGUGGGGGUUGGAAAGUUUCGGCGGUUGGGGAUGGACUCGCGGCUUAUCAGCUUGUUGGUGGGGUAGUGGCUUACCAAGGCUUUGACGGGUAGCCGGCCUGAGAGGGUGACCGGCCACAUUGGGACUGAGAUACGGCCCCGACUCCUACGGGAGGCAGCAGUGGGGAAUAUUGCACAAUGGGCGGAAGCCUGAUGCAGCAACGCCGCGUGCGGGAUGACGGCCUUCGGGUUGUAAACCGCUUUCGCCUGUGACGAAGCGUGAGUGACGGUAAUGGGUAAAGAAGCACCGGGUAACUACGUG